GGGGAUUUAGCUUAGUGGUAGAGCGCUUGCCUAGCAAGCGCAAGGCCCUGGGUUCGGUCCCCAGCUCCG
rfam:Rattus norvegicus chromosome 10, whole genome shotgun sequence.